rnacentral:rRNA from 1 species
GAUGAGCCCGCGUACCUUUAGCUGGUUGGGGGGGUAACGGCCUACCAAGGCUGCGAUGGUUAGUUGGUCUGAGAGGAUGAUCAGCCACACUGGAACUGACACACGGUCCAGACUCCUACGGGAGGCAGCAGUGAGGAAUUUUGCGCAAUGGGGGAAACCCUGACGCAGCAACGCCGCGUGAGUGAAGAAGGCUUUCGGGUCGUAAAGCUCUGUCGAGUGGGAAGAACUUUCGGAUGUUGAAUAAGCAUUCGGGUUGACGGUACCACAGAAGGAAGCACCGGCUAACUCCGUGCCAGCAGCCGCGGUAAUACGGAGGGUGCGAGCGUUAUUCGGAAUUAUUGGGCGUAAAGAGCGCGUAGGCGGCCGUACAAGUCAGGUGUGAAAUCCCGGGGCUCAACCCCGGAAGAGCAUUUGAUACUGUAUGGCUUGAGUAUGGGAGAGGGAAGUGGAAUUCCUGGUGUAGCGGUGAAAUGCGUAGAUAUCAGGAGGAACACCGGUGGCGAAGGCGGCUUCCUGGACCAAUACUGACGCUGAGGCGCGAAGGCGUGGGGAGCAAACAGGAUUAGAUACCCUGGUAGUCCACGCAGUAAA